UAAAUGCCUGGGUAAAUCGCACCGCUUAACGGUGCGAAUUCCGGGUAGACUGUCAAGCUUGAGACCGGGAGAAGUUAGAGGUACUCCUGGGGUAGAGGUGAAAUUCUGUAAUCCUAGGGGGACCACCAGUGGCGAAAGCGUCUAACUAGAACGGGUCUGACGGUGAGGGACGAAGCCCUGGGGCGCGAACCGGAUUAGAUACCCGGGUAGUCCAGGGUGUAAACGCCUGCUUGCUUGAUGUUAGUCGGGCUCCGAGCUCGAUUAGUGUCGGAGAGAAGUUGUUAAGCAAGCUGCCUGGGAAGUACGGCCGCAAGGCUGAAACUUAAAGGAAUUGGCGGGGGAGCACCACCAGGCGUGAAGCCUGCGGUUUAAUUGGAGUCAACGCCGGGAACCUUACCGGGAGCGACAGCAGAGUGAAGGCCAGGCUGAAGACCUUGCCAGACAAGCUGAGAGGAGGUGCAUGGCCGUCGCCAGUUCGUGCCGUGAGGUGUUCUCUUAAGUGAGAUAACGAACGAGACCCGUGCCACAUGUUGCCAUCAGGUCCUAUAGGGAUGCUGGGCACUCUUGUGGGACCGCAGCCGAUAAGGCUGAGGAAGGUGCGGGCAACGGCAGGUCAGUAUGCCCCGAAUCUUCCCGGGCCACACGCGGGCUGCAAUGGUACGGACAGAGGGCUGCGACCCCGAAAGGGGAAGCCAAUCCCUAAACCGUAUCUCAGUUGGGAUUGAGGGCUGCAACCCGCCCUCAUGAACAUGGAAU
rnacentral:rRNA from 1 species